UGGAAUACUUCGGCAUUCGGUGAACAGCCGUCUCGCCCGCAUCAUCUGCGCGCUCAUGGCUUCUUCCAUUGUUUGGUUUGCUGCUAAUACUGCCCGACUUCUUUUUGGAUUGUCAAUAAUACAAUAACACAUGAUUUGACAUCUAUUUAUAGAACGAUCCAGUCUGGUAGAAGCGGCGCCGACGCGACGUGACGCCGGCCACGCCUCCGCCUCCACAGGUUUAUAUUACGUCGGUACUACGCACGACGCAACUCAAUGAUUUAGGUCACGAUAGGGGAGAUAAACCCUUAUAAGGCGCGUGCAUUUCGCAAGUUCAAAUCACACAAAGGAUCUUGUAAUGUAGCUUUCAACAGAAUAGGGUUCAAAUCGAUAAGGCUGUCGGUAGAAUUAUGUACCUAAAGCAAUAAUAUUGUCUAGAAUUACACAAGUAUUUAACUAGUCUAGCUGGUAAUAGUAGUAGAAUAAAUCGAAAUGGUACCAGGCCGUAACAAAGUUCAACUCAGAAAGGGAGGCGAGAUUGAUUAGUAUUGUUUCAUAGUCGCAAUUCAUAAUUGUUUUAGGUGAAAUUUUAUUACAA